rnacentral:pre_miRNA from 1 species
ACAACAUUUGGACCGUCGCGGCGUCGGUCUAACGAGCAAUAUCACCCGCUCGGUGGAAGAUCUCUUCCCUUUGUAGU